AAGUCGUAACAAGGUUUCCGUAGGUGAACCUGCGGAAGGAUCAUUACUAGAGCAAAGGAUAGACAGCGCCCGCGGAGCUCGCUCCCGGGGCUACCCUACUCCCGUAGGGUUUAGAGUCGUCGGGCCUCUCGGAGAAGCUCGGUCCUGAACUCCACCCUUGAAUAAACUACCUUUGUUGCUUUGGCGGGCCGCCUCGUGCCAGCGGCUUCGGCUGUUGAGUGCCCGCCAGAGGACCCCAACUCUUGUUUUUAGUGAUGUCUGAGUACUAUAUAAUAGUUAAAACUUUCAACAACGGAUCUCUUGGUUCUGGCAUCGAUGAAGAACGCAGCGAAAUGCGAUAAGUAAUGUGAAUUGCAGAAUUCAGUGAAUCAUCGAAUCUUUGAACGCACAUUGCGCCCUCUGGUAUUCCGGGGGGCAUGCCUGUUCGAGCGUCAUUAUAACCACUCAAGCUCUCGCUUGGUAUUGGGGUUCGCGGUUUCGCGGCCCCUAAAAUCAGUGGCGGUGCCUGUCGGCUCUACGCGUAGUAAUACUCCUCGCGAUUGAGUCCGGUAGGUCUACUUGCCAGCAACCCCUAAUUUUUUUAAGGUUGACCUCGGAUCAGGUAGGGAUACCCGCUGAACUUAAGCAUAUCAAUAAGCGGAGGAAAAGAAACCAACAGGGAUUACCUCAGUAACGGCGAGUGAAGCGGUAACAGCUCAAAUUUGAAAGCUGGCUCUUUUAGGGUCCGCGUUGUAAUUUGUAGAAGAUGCUUCGGGUGUGGCCCCGGUCUAAGUUCCUUGGAACAGGACGUCAUAGAGGGUGAGAAUCCCGUAUGUGACUGGGUGCUUUCGCUCAUGCGAAGCUCUUUCGACGAGUCGAGUUGUUUGGGAAUGCAGCUCAAAAUGGGUGGUAAAUUUCAUCUAAAGCUAAAUAUUGGCCAGAGACCGAUAGCGCACAAGUAGAGUGAUCGAAAGAUGAAAAGCACUUUGGAAAGAGAGUUAAACAGUACGUGAAAUUGUUGAAAGGGAAGCGCUUGCAACCAGACUUGCGCGCUGAUGAUCAUCCGGGCUUUUGCCCGGUGCACUCGUCUGCGCUCAGGCCAGCAUCGGUUUCGGUGGUGGGAUAAAGGCCUUGGGAAUGUGGCUCCUCUCGGGGAGUGUUAUAGCCCUCGGUGCAAUGCCGCCAACCGGGACCGAGGACCGCGCUUCGGCUAGGAUGCUGGCGUAAUGGUUGUAAGCGACC
rnacentral:rRNA from 1 species